rnacentral:rRNA from 1 species
CAAUAGCGUAUAUUAAAGUUGUUGCGGUUAAAAAGCUCGUAGUUGGAUUUCUGCUGAGAACGACCGGUCCGCCCUCUGGGUGUGUAUCUGGCUCUUUCUUGGCAUCUUCUUGGUGAACGUUGCUGCACUUGACUGUGUGGAGCGCUACCCAGGACUUUUACUUUGAGGAAAUUAGAGUGUUUCAAGCAGGCAUACGCCUUGAAUACAUUAGCAUGGAAUAAUAAGAUAGGACCUCGGUUCUAUUUUGUUGGUUUCUAGAGCUGAGGUAAUGAUUAAUAGGGAUAGUUGGGGGCAUUCGUAUUUAACUGUCAGAGGUGAAACUCUUGGAUUUGUUAAAGACGGACUACUGCGAAAGCAUUUGCCAAGGAUGUUUUCAUUG